rnacentral:pre_miRNA from 1 species
GCUAACAUGUGUGUGGAUGGUGUUCAGCACCAAGGACAGGCAUAUUUGCAUGUGUGUGGAUGGUGUUCAGCACCAAGGACAGGCAUGUUUGCAU